rnacentral:rRNA from 1 species
UACGGAGGGGGUUAGCGUUGUUCGGAAUGACUGGGCGUAAAGCGCGCGUAGGCGGAUCAGGAAGUUGGGGGUGAAAUCCCGGGGCUCAACCCCGGAAUGGCCUUCAAAACUCCUGGUCUUUGAGUUCGAGAGAGGUGAGUGGAAUUCCGAGUGUAGAGGUGAAAUUCGUAGAUAUUCGGAGGAACACCAGUGGCGAAGGCGGCUCACUGGCUCGACACUGACGCUGAGGUGCGAAAGCGUGGGGGAGCAAACAG